UGGGGAAUAUUGCACAAUGGGCGCAAGCCUGAUGCAGCCAUGCCGCGUGUGUGAAGAAGGCCUUCGGGUUGUAAAGCACUUUCAGCGGGGAGGAAGGCGAUAAGGUUAAUAACCUUGUCGAUUGACGUUACCCGCAGAAGAAGCACCGGCUAACUCCGUGCCAGCAGCCGCGGUAAUACGGAGGGUGCAAGCGUUAAUCGGAAUUACUGGGCGUAAAGCGCACGCAGGCGGUCUGUCAAGUCGGAUGUGAAAUCCCCGGGCUUAACCUGGGAAAUGCAUUCGAAACUGGCAGGCUAGAGUCUUGUAGAGGGGGGUAGAAUUCCAGGUGUAGCGGUGAAAUGCGUAGAGAUCUGGAGGAAUACCGGUGGCGAAGGCGGCCCCCUGGACAAAGACUGACGCUCAGGUGCGAAAGCGUGGGGAGCAAACAGG
rnacentral:rRNA from 1 species